CGAUAACAUAAGCUAGAAGAG
rnacentral:piRNA from 1 species